UACUUGGUUGAUCCUGCCAAGGAAGCACACUUAGGUCAUAGAUUAAGCCAUGCAAGUGUUAGUUCAGGUAACGAAACUGCGAAUAGCUCAUUAAUACGCUCAGAAUCUAUUUGGCGGCGACCAACAGGUCUUAAAUGGAUAGCAGCAGCAACUCUGGUGCUAAUACAUGCGAUUGUUUCUCCAGAUGUGAAUUAUGGAGGAAAAGUUGACCUCAUCAGAGGCACGCCAUUCGACUGAGUGACCUAUCAGCUUGUACUUAGGGUCUUUACCUAGGUAGGCUAUCACGGGUAACGGGCGGUUACCGUCGGACUGCCGGAGAAGGCGCCUGAGAGAUAGCGACUAUAUCCACGGGUAGCAGCAGGCGCGAAACUUUCCCACUCGAGACUUUCGGAGGAGGUAAUGACCAGUUCCAUUGGUGCCUUUUGGUACUGUGGAUAGGGGUACGGUUUUCCACCGUACCGAAACCUAGCAGAGGGCCAGUCUGGUGCCAGCAGCUGCGGUAAUUCCAGCUCUGCGAGUUUGCUCCCAUAUUGUUGCAGUUAAAACGCCCGUAGUCUGAAUUGGCCAGCAAUGGUCGUACGUAUUUUUACGUUCACUGUGAACAAAUCAGGACGCUUAGAGUAUGGCCACAUGAAUGACUCAGCGCAGUAUGAAGUCUUUGU
rnacentral:ncRNA from 2 species